rnacentral:tRNA from 1 species
GGGGUUGUGGCUCAGCGGUAGAGCGCUCGCCUAGCAUGUGCGAGGCCCUGGGUUGGAUCCUCAGCACCACA